rnacentral:rRNA from 1 species
UACGUAGGGAGCAAGCGUUGUCCGGAAUCAUUGGGCGUAAAGCGCGCGUAGGCGGCCUCGUAAGUCCGUUGUGAAAGUCAAAGGCUCAACCUUUGAAAGCCGAUGGAUACUGUGAGGCUAGAGUCCGGAAGAGGCGAGUGGAAUUCCUGGUGUAGCGGUGGAAUGCGCAGAUAUCAGGAGGAACACCCGUGGCUAAGGCGGCUCUCUAGUACGGUACUGACGCUGAGACGCGAAAGCGUGGGGAGCGAACAGG